rnacentral:rRNA from 1 species
GACGAACGCUGGCGGCGUGCUUAACACAUGCAAGUCGAACGGUGAAGCGCCUUCCUUUUUGGUCGGUGUGGAUGAGUGGCGAACGGGUGAGUAACACGUGAGUAACCUGCCCCCUUCUUCUGGAUAACCGCAUGAAAGUGUGGCUAAUACGGGAUAUUCUGGGUCUGUCGCAUGAUGGGUCUGGGAAAGAUAUUGUUUCGGUGGGGGAUGGGCUCGCGGCCUAUCAGCUUGUUGGUGGGGUGAUGGCCUACCAAGGCGGUGACGGGUAGCCGGCCUGAGAGGGUGGACGGUCACACUGGGACUGAGACACGGCCCAGACUCCUACGGGAGGCAGCAGUGGGGAAUAUUGCACAAUGGGCGCAAGCCUGAUGCAGCGACGCCGCGUGAGGGAUGGAGGCCUUCGGGUUGUGAACCUCUUUCGCCAGUGAAGCAGGCCUGCCUCGUUUGUGGGUGGGUUGACGGUAGCUGGAUAAGAAGCGCCGGCUAACUACGUG